GGAGCCGACCUUGAAAUACCACCCUUUAAUGUUUGAUGUUCUAACGUGGACCCGUAAUCCGGGUUGCGGACAGUGUCUGGUGGGUAGUUUGACUGGGGCGGUCUCCUCCUAAAGAGUAACGGAGGAGCACGAAGGUUGGCUAAUCCUGGUCGGACAUCAGGAGGUUAGUGCAAUGGCAUAAGCCAGCUUGACUGCGAGCGUGACGGCGCGAGCAGGUGCGAAAGCAGGUCAUAGUGAUCCGGUGGUUCUGAAUGGAAGGGCCAUCGCUCAACGGAUAAAAGGUACUCCGGGGAUAACAGGCUGAUACCGCCCAAGAGUUCAUAUCGACGGCGGUGUUUGGCACCUCGAUGUCGGCUCAUCACAUCCUGGGGCUGAAGUAGGUCCCAAGGGUAUGGCUGUUCGCCAUUUAAAGUGGUACGCGAGCUGGGUUUAGAACGUCGUGAGACAGUUCGGUCCCUAUCUGCCGUGGGCGCUGGAGAACUGAGGGGGGCUGCUCCUAGUACGAGAGGACCGGAGUGGACGCAUCACUGGUGUUCGGGUUGUCAUGCCAAUGGCACUGCCCGGUAGCUAAAUGCGGAAGAGAUAAGUGCUGAAAGCAUCUAAGCACGAAACUUGCCCCGAGAUGAGUUCUCCCUGAGACUUAGAGUCUCCUGAAGGAACGUUGAAGACGACGACGUUGAUAGGCCGGGUGUGUAAGCGCAGCGAUGCGUUGAGCUAACCGGUACUAAUGAACCGUGAGGCUUAACCUUAC
rnacentral:rRNA from 1 species